rnacentral:rRNA from 1 species
ACGAACGCUGGCGGCUGCUUAACACAUGCAAGUCGAACGGAGUGGAGAACGGGUGAGUAACGCGUGAGCAACCUGCCUAUGACAGGGGGAUAGCCUAGGGAAACCGGGAUUAAUACCGCAUAGUCAUAGAUGGGCGCGCGUCUGAGUAGCUAGUUGGUGAGAUAACAGCCCACCAAGGCGACGAUCAGUAGCCGGUCUGAGAGGUUGACCGGCCACCUUGGAACUGGGACACGGUCCAAACUCCUACGGUAGGCAGCAGUGGGGAAUAUUGCACAAUGGGGGAACCCCUGAUGCAGCGACGCCGCGUGAACGAAGAAGGUAUUCGUAUCGUAAAGUUCUGUCCUAUGGGAAGCAGUACCAUAGAAGAAAGCUCCGGCUAAAUACGUGCCAGCAGCCGCGGUAAUAC